rnacentral:rRNA from 1 species
CAGUAGCCGCGGUAAUACGUAGGGUGCGAGCGUUAAUCGGAAUUACUGGGCGUAAAGCGCGCGUAGGUGGUUUGUUAAGUUGGAUGUGAAAUCCCCGGGCUCAACCUGGGAACUGCAUUCAAAACUGACUGACUAGAGUAUGGUAGAGGGUGGUGGAAUUUCCUGUGUAGCGGUGAAAUGCGUAGAUAUAGGAAGGAACACCAGUGGCGAAGGCGACCACCUGGACUAAUACUGACACUGAGGUGCGAAAGCGUGGGAAGCAAACAGGAUUAGAUACCCGCGUAGUCCCUGUCUCUUAUAA